rnacentral:rRNA from 1 species
GCUGGCGGCGUGGAUUAGGCAUGCAAGUCGAACGUGAAAGGGGAGCUUCGGUUCCCCGAGUAAAGUGGCAAACGGGUGAGUAACGCGUGAAGAACCUGCCCGGAAGUGGGGGACAACAUCUCUAACGGGGUGCUAAUACCGCAUGUGCAUGUGAAAUCGCAUGGUUUCACUUGUAAAGGUGGCCUCUACUCGUAAGCUAUCGCUUCCGGAUGGCUUUGCGUCCCAUUAGCUUGUUGGUGGGGUAACGGCCUACCAAGGCAACGAUGGGUAGCUGGUCUGAGAGGAUGGUCAGCCACACUGGGACUGAGAUACGGCCCAGACUCCUACGGGAGGCAGCAGUCGAGAGGCUUCCGCAAUGGGGGAAACCCUGACGGAGCGACGCCGCGUGAGGGAUGACGGCCUUCGGGUUGUAAACCUCUUUCAGGUGGGAAGAAAGGUCGGGGAGUAAACAAUUCCUCGGCUGUGACGGUACCACCAGAAGAAGCUCCGGCUAACUCCGUGCCAGCAGCCGCGGUAAUACGGGGGGAGCAAGCGUUGUUCGGAUUCAUUGGGCGUAAAGGGCGCGUA